rnacentral:lncRNA from 1 species
UGGGUAUAGAGCUGAAUAUAAAUAAGGUUAUAAAUAAAAAGUUACUCCUGAUCCCUCAAGCUAUUUUAUGUCUGCAGAGUGCAAAACCAGCAUUAGAACUUGUUCGGUCUCCCUCUGUUCCUGGAGAAGAGGGCAAAGAGGAGGAAAAUUACAACAACCCUCCAUCUGUUGCUGCACCACAGCCUGGACAACCUGAAUCAAGUGCAAAACCAGCAUUAGAACUUGUUCGGUCUCCGUCUGUUCCUGGAGAAGAGGCUAAAGAGGAGGAAAAUUACAACAACCCUCCAUCUGUUGCUGCACCACAGCCUGGACAACCUGAAUCAGUAAGCACCAGCUUUGGUUGGCACUGUCUUUGGUGCAAAGCAGAGU